rnacentral:rRNA from 1 species
UACGGAAGGCAGCAGGGGGGAAUAUUGCACAAUGGGCGCAAGCCUGAUGCAGCCAUGCCGCGUGUAUGAAAAAGGCCUUCGGGUUGUAAAGUACUUUUCAGUCGUGAGGAAGGUGUUAAGGUUAAUAACCUUAGCAAUUGACGUUAGCGACAGAAGAAGCACCGGCUAACUCCGUGCCAGCAGCCGCGGUAAUACGGAGGGUGCGAGCGUUAAUCGGAAUUACUGGGCGUAAAGGGCACGCAGGCGGUUAAUUAAGUUGGAUGUGAAAUCCCCGGGCUUAACCUGGGAAUGGCAUUCAAGACUGGUUAGCUAGAGUCUUGUAGAGGGGGGUAGAAUUCCAUGUGUAGCGGUGAAAUGCGUAGAGAUGUGGAGGAAUACCGGUGGCGAAGGCGGCCCCUGGACAAAGACUGACGCUCAUGUGCGAAAGCGUGGGGAGCAAACAGGGAUUAGAUACC